rnacentral:lncRNA from 1 species
CUUAUAAUCCUCCAAGACAGAUUCUGGAUGAGUUAAAGAUCAAAUUAUAUCAAACUAACUUGAAGACAAAUACAAGUCCUCUAAAAUAUUUAGAGAAAAGGAAAUAUCAUGGGAUAGAUAUAUGAUGUUAGAGUAGUGGGGAGUUACAAAACUGACUAUUUUUAUGCAUCGUGGUGCAGUGACACAUGUCUCAAAAUGCUUCUCUGGGUUUUGAUAUCAAGGUUCUAUAUCAGCCUCACAAACUGAUUUGGGUGUCUCCCCUUUCUUUCAAUUAUCUAGAAUAAAUUGGAUUAGAUUGGGAUUUCUUUAUCCUUGAAUCUAUAAGGAUAGCCAAGAAGCCAUUUGUAAUUCAGACUCCUUUUCCAUUUGCCCCUUAUAUUUUUUGUAGAGAGUUGGAGAAAUAGGAAGAUUUUAUAAUGUUACUGCAGGAAUGAUUGGUAUAAGCUGAAUUCUCUUUUCACCUGUUUUAGUGGAGAUGUCUCUCACUUGCUACCUCUUCGGCCCCACUCUGUGAAUCUCAGUCUAGCAACGGCGCUGCCAUUAUGGAGCUCAAAACAAGAUCUGGAAGCACUGAGAGAAAUCUCAAAAUAAUUCCACCACAGGACAGUGGUUUCCUGAACACGAACGAUAUCAAGGCACUACCCACUCAAGCUGAGGGUCUGUUUCUUGAUUCCUGAUAUUUCUACCUAACAGAAGUUCAAGGAAGUGUAGCCUUUCACAGCAGUGGAGACAAUAAAUGUUGUGUCCAAGGACA